UUUUUUUUUUUUUUUCCAGUAUGAAAGGUUAAAUUUGUUGUAUUGUGUGAGUAAGUUGGUGACCUUUCAUUUCUUUAUUUCAUUUGUUGAAUUUUGCAAUAAUGUAUUUAUUACCUCUUUGAUCUUAAUUUUGUUUGGCUACACUUGGAAGAUGUUUGCUUUAAAUGCUUGAAGACUUGGCUUAUUUUAAGAUGCCAAAAAAAGAAAAGAAAGCAUGGAAUUAUUAAAAUAUGGAGGAAACAUAGAGAUAAUAUGAAAUGGAAUAGUUGUGAUUUGUCACAUGACAUUCAACAUGUACCCAAAAUAUUAAAGUUUUUCGUAUGAUGCAAAAGGUACACUUUAAGUUUUUACAAAAAAAAAAUUAAAAGAUGCAACUUUGCUAUUUAGGAGUCAUAUCCAAUGCUUUAAAUAUAACUUAAUGAUUUAUCUUGUCAUUAUUUAUUUAUUUUUGCUGCAUAUUAUUCCAAAUUAUUUUGUCCAGGUUUCACCUUUCUUGGAAAUCCAUGAUAUAG
rnacentral:misc_RNA from 1 species